rnacentral:rRNA from 1 species
CAAGUCGAGCGAGGCCUUUGGGUCUAGCGGCGGAUGGGUGAGUAACGCGUGGGAACGUGCCCUUCACUACGGAAUAGUCCCGGGAAACUGGGUUUAAUACCGUAUACGCCCUUCGGGGGAAAGAAUUUCGGUGAAGGAUCGGCCCGCGUUGGAUUAGGUAGUUGGUGGGGUAAUGGCCUACCAAGCCGACGAUCCAUAGCUGGUUUUAGAGGAUGAUCCAGCCACCACUGGGACUGAGACACGGCCCCAGACUCCUACGGGAGGCAGCAGUGGGGGAAUCUUAGACAAUGGGGGAAACCCUGAUCUAGCCAUGCCGCGUAAGUGACGAAGGCCUUAGGGUCGUAAAGCUCUUUCAACGGUGAAGAUAAUGACGGUAGCCGUAGAAGAAACCCCGGCUAACUCCGUGCCAGCAGCCGCGGUAAUACGGAGGGGGUUAGCGUUGUUCGGAAUUACUGGGCGUAAAGCGCGCGUAGGCGGAUUGGAAAGUUGGGGGUGAAAUCCCGGGGCUCAACCCCGGAACUGCCUCCAAAACUAUCAGUCUAGAGUUCGAGAGAGGUGAGUGGAAUUCCGAGUGUAGAGGUGAAAUUCGUAGAUAUUCGGAGGAACACCAGUGGCGAAGGCGGCUCACUGGCUCGAUACUGACGCUGAGGUGCGAAAGUGUGGGGAGCAAACAGGAUUAGAUACCCUGGUAGUCCACACCGUAAACGAUGAAUGCCAGUCGUCGGGUAGCAUGCUAUUCGGUGACACACCUAACGGAUUAAGCAUUCCGCCUGGGGAGUACGGCCGCAAGGUUAAAACUCAAAGAAAUUGACGGGGGCCCGCACAAGCGGUGGAGCAUGUGGUUUAAUUCGAAGCAACGCGCAGAACCUUACCAACCCUUGACAUCCCUGUCGCGGGUACCGGAGACGGUAUCCUUCAGUUCGGCUGGACAGGUGACAGGUGCUGCAUGGCUGUCGUCAGCUCGUGUCGUGAGAUGUUCGGUUAAGUCCGGCAACGAGCGCAACCCACAUCCCUAGUUGCCAGCAGUUCGGCUGGGCACUCUAUGGAAACUGCCCGUGAUAAGCGGGAGGAAGGUGUGGAUGACGUCAAGUCCUCAUGGCCCUUACGGGUUGGGCUACACACGUGCUACAAUGGUGGUGACAGUGGGUUAAUCCCCAAAAA